rnacentral:rRNA from 1 species
GAGUAGCGAUAAAGGGUGUGAAAAGCACCCUCGCCGUAAGCCCAAGGUUUCCUGCGCAACGUUCAUCGGCGCAGGGUGAGUCGGCCCCUAAGGCGAGGCAGAAAUGCGUAGUCGAGUGGGAAACAGGUCAAUAUUCCUGUACCGCUCUAUGAUGCGAUGGGGGACGGAGAAGGUUAGCUCGGCCAUCUGUUGGAAUAGGUGGUUUAAGCGUGUAGUCGUGCCGCGUAGGCAAAUCCGCGUGGCUUAGAUGAGGCGUGAUGACGAGGAUCCUCGGAUCCGAAGUGAGUGAUACCCAGCUUCCAGGAAAAGCCUCUAAGCUUCAGUCAUAGAGUGACCGUACCGCAAACCGACACAGGUGGGCUGGUAGAGAAUACCAAGGCGCUUGAGAGAACUCAGGAGAAGGAACUCGGCAAAUUGAUACCGUAACUUCGGGAG